ensembl:lncRNA
GGCGUCACGGCGGCUCCGAGCAGCGCGGCGCGGACAGCGAACGCGUGCCGAGCGGGAGCGAAGCGCGUCUGCAAACGGCGCGGCAGCAAUUCCAGCCGAUGGCGCGUUCUGAGGAAACACAGCCUCAAAUACACUGACAAGCCGUGCCGGGCCCAAAUACUGGGCUUUUUUUUUUUUUUUUUUUUUUAUAUUCAAGAAACACAGGUGGCUUCGGACUGCCCUCCUUCCCCUCCACCCUGAGAAGAGAAAAAGCAGAGAACUGAAGUCGUCGUGCUUUAUUCCUGCUUAGCACCGCACCUCGCGACGGGCCGCGCGGCUCAGAACAAAGCAGCUCGGAGCUGUGCACGGCCCCGCGCAGAGCCAAUCCCUCGGGCCCUCCGCCAGCACCGCUCGUUAGAGCCCAACGUCCGACCUCUCGCCCUGUGCUGCUACUGAAAGCGCUUCUGCUUAAGAUGUAAUUAAAGUCCCAACAAACAAGGGCUGGCUUCCCGCUCUGCCCUGCCCGGUACGUAGGGCAACACGGCCCGUCCCCACCCCUGGCGCUGUGACAUUUGUCCAAGCGUUCGUCCUGCGAGCAAUUAGAAGCCUGAGCACGGGGUGCCAUGCGUGGCUGCUGGGAUUUCGACUUGCAGAUCUCUUACGAACGAGUAAUGCGGAGAUUCCUCACUUGCUACACCGAGCUCUCAGACACUAAGAGCUGCAAGUCAAACUAACGAUUGCACUUCAGUUUAAAUAAAGAAACCAACUGCAGGAUUCCUCUGGCACCAAGCAAACUAUGAUCCUCAGUCAGCACUACAACACUAUUUUUUCUCCAGAUAAAUAAAAACAGAUCAUACAAUUACUGUCAAAUAAAAGUGCUCAGGUCUCCAGCAUUUGUGUGCAGGUGUGUCUAUGAAAUGUGUAUAUACAGAAAAAUACAAGGGCAUAAGCAAUGUACUGCAGUAAUAGUUCUCUUCCUAAAGACAGUUUUAUUUAACAGUGUAAAAAUUGAAGUUAUCUUUACUCCUAUUGAAAAUAUCCCUACUUGUCCGACUGGCAAUAAAUCUUGGAAGCAUUCUGCUCACAUACUGAGUUUUAAGGAACGUGCAGCAUGUGUCAACUCCAAUAAAAGCGGCGCAGUUCUUUAAUUACCCCGUUCACCCAGGAGCUGCUUUAACAAAGUAUUUUUCCACAUGUGUAGAACUGUAAAAUAAAAAAAAUAAAAUAAAAAAAUCAGUCAUCUGUGUGCAAUGACUACUCAGCAUCUAACAGUAAUGGAUAUACUGAAGAAUAGAAAUGUGAACUAUGCCAAGCCUAUAAUUCUCAGUGACUGACUACAAAGUACUUGUAGCCGGCGUUAAGCUUUUAAAACUCUAACCCUAAUCAAUCAUAAACGUAGAAAUAAAAACUUUGUGGCCUUUUGUGAAAUCUAAAACACCAGUGCACAACUUUAAAUAAUGUUUCUAACUUCUGAACCACACAGCAUUCUUCCCAUGUCAAAUAUGUUCUUCUGCAUGAAAGCAGGCUUGCACAUACACGUCAAAACAUAACACUGCCCCUCUAAACACGUGAGGUAAUUACAUCUGGCAUUUGGGACCUCACUGAUAACAUACUGCUUGCCUGAGAGAGAAGAUACCCAAGUUGGCCAAAACCAAAGUUGCAUAAGAUUCAGAAGUUGAAGUGCAAACCGCUGCUUCCCUUCUGCAGUGUCGGUGUCCCUGAGCCUGCUGCUGAAGAGCCAGUACCAUCUCCCCAAGCUGCACAGAACUUUGAAUUGCAUGGCUUGCAUACAUUUAUUUCAGCCUGGGUGACAGCACAGCAACAAAAAGCCCACUAAGAAGAAAAAAGGCAGAUAACCAAAUGCGAUCAACUUGCGAUUGCAUUUUUAUGACGUGUUAGUGAAUGGGUACCAGCUAACUAAUCUUAGCAGAGAACAAACCUAAUUUAUACACAGCAGGAUGCUGUCAGAUUAUUUUAAACCUAAUAAUUAUUUCUAGCAGUGAGGAGACAUUACACUUUUGCAUACAAAAGACAGUUGCUCUGAAAAAAAUCCAUGUGAUGUUUGAUUAAUUGGCACUGGGGUGGAUGGGUGGAGGAAAUAAACCUACCUAAAGCCAAUAAAACAGCACACUCCUUGAAACCAAGUGUGGUGAUAUUAAAUAGCAUUUUUGAAAAAGGCUUGAUUGUAGAAGAGAGAAGACUUGCCAAAUUAGUUGGUUUUGUUCCAUGUGCUCCAAAUGUUUUUGUUGUUGUUUUUAAAGAAAAGAUUUAAGAAAACGUGCCUAGCAGUUCAGUGGGAGCUGCCAUGCCCCAGCUCUUUGUUACACCGAGGUACCUCUCUCUCUUCUAAGCCAAAAGCACAACUAAGACGACUUAGUCUGAGUCCAGGUGUAACAAAAGACACAGAAGCCCACAAGGAAUUCUUCCACCCUACUCAGCCAUUUGAUCAAGCAUGCACAUCUAUGAAACCAUUUCAUAUGCCUUCAAAAUCCUAAAGUGCUAGAAAAUCUACUAUUCCUUUUCUGAUAAUUUCUAAUUAUUCAUUAGUCUUUUAAAACUCAUUAGUCUUAAUCUCAUUGGUACUAAAAUUCAUUAGUCUUUAAAAAACUUGCACCUUAGACGUUGUCAGUAACUGAUCUUUAUCCCCAUAUACCAUCAACACAAAUUGCCUUGAAAAUGUUUUGCUGUGUCUGGAAUACGAAAACGGUCACAUAAAAUCAACUGCCAUAUUACAGACGUAUGGAUUGUUUUCAGGAAUGUGUUUUAUUCAACUGAGAUUCAACUAAAGUUAAAGGAGUUUGAAAGUAAGAGUACAAUGGUAUUCAAGAAGGUAAACUGUGUUUCGUCCAACGUAUGUGUGGUGAACAUACAGAGAAAUCAUGUGUUUGUAAUAAUAAAAAUAAAUUAUCAAAUGCCCGGGAUCCUGAUAUAUUCAUACAGAAUGCAGCAACCACUGAAGAGCCAGAAAGUCUAGUUGAAACCAACCAAUUAUUUGGUGCUUUUAUAAAAAAAAAAGGCAUAUAUGUAUAUCUAUAUACAUAUAUAUUUUUUUAUAUAUAUACACACAUACACACAUAUAUAUGCUCCAAAAUUGUAUUUUGUUUUCUUUUUAGUGCUACAUAAACAAUAUGACAGUCUUAACUAUAGUACUUGAUCAUUUUAAGUGCUUAGACAUAAAAUUUUACUCAUUGGUAUAACGUAGUCAUGACAGUGCUCUACACAAGACAGAUGUUAUUUUACAGAACUGGUUUAAUUAUGUGUAACUAUAUGGUAUUAACACUUGAGUAGACAAAAAGGGUGGUUAGAAAGCCACAAGUAUUUCAUUAAGUAUUUUAACAUGGGUAUGACAAUGACCCACAUUAAGAUGUGAGGAUUCCAGGCUGUCUGAAGGAGCUCUGUAGGCUCAGUCCUCAGCAGCCACAGAUGUGUCAGCAGUCCUUGGGACAUGGUGCUUCACUUCUGAACACAGAGAGCUCAGCAGAGGCCUGACCUCAGUCUGCCAUCACAGCACUCCGUCCCGUGCCUGGAGCCACGCACACCUUCACCUUAGAAGAUGCAUUAGUGGCAAACUGAGGAUUUUGGAAAUUAUGUGGUUUGCCUCCUUGAGCUAUGCAUGCACUGAGCACUGUGCUGCAAGGAGAGGCUAACAUGAUUAAAAAACAGUUUGAUGAGCUCAAAUUUUUUCCUCAGUGUAUAGCAGUGCAUAACCAGAUUAACUGAAAACUUGGCAGGAACGCAAUAGGUCUCACACAGUCAUAUCACAUCUAUUAUUUCUUUUCAUACACAAUUUUUAAAUACUAGCCACUCUAAGUUUAUGCACAGUCCCCAGUCUGGGAUUAUCUGCCUUAGUCCUAAGAAUGCCCAAGUCUCACCUCCUCAUGCCACUAUUUUUGAGGCAAACAUGAGGCUGGGGAACAGCUUUGGUCUGAAGGUACAGCAGUGCUGCUGAGGAUACACCAGCCAGGGGAAGCUGUUCUCUCCUGCAAAGCAGCGUCAUGGUGCUAUCCCUGAUGCGCACCAUGUUCUUAUCCAGAUAUCAUACAUUAUUUUCCUCCCUUACACAUGGCACACGAGAGAGGCCAGUGCAUACUUCCUCAUUCUUUUGCUCAGAACCAAUUUAAAGGUAUCAAAUGCAGCACCAGCUGAGGUGAAAGCUCAGUCCUUUCUGUGACUGAAUUCUUUUCAUCUAGCAGUGCCCCAAGAGGAGACACGAGCAGAGUUGCUGCUCUCAGAUUUCUGACUGCUCAGAAAGCCUCUUGUUCUUUGUCUGCCCAAAUUCUGUUAAUAGGACAGCACCUACAAUCCACAGUCUUCAUGCAAAAAGGGACGGUUUUGAAGAAGUGUGUGCUGGUUUUACCCAGAAUGCCUCCAGUACCAAAGAUCACCCGUACUAGCACAGGGAACAUCGAGAGCUUGCACGUCUUCCUGGAUUCCUGCCCUUACUGCAGGAAUCUGACAGACCAGCAGCAGUUGGUAGGCAGACAGGCUCUGCCGCAGAGGCAACAGCUCUUCCCUUUUCUCUGAAAGCUGGUCAGGACACGAAGUGUCAAAAGCCUUCUUCCAAGGCAAGUAGUGGUUAAGGCCACCUCUCUGAUGAGUGUGUUCACACAACAGUGUCUGCUAGAUAUAGAAACAUUUGUACCAUUCAAGCAUCUUUACCACAGAGGAUUUCCCUGAAAUCACCAUCCCCUGCCAGCUACACACACUCACACCACCUCUCUCCACUCACACUGCAGAGUACGAGUCAUAGAGCAAAGGUUUACUUUACAUUAUCCAGUACAUAUCUGAAACACAAAUAUUACACAUAACAUAGCUUCACAGCUUUCCAACAGGUCAAAUUUUUACCUUAGAGAUGCAGCUGCACCUGCUGAAAACACCAAAUCACCACCACCAGCUCCACAACUCCCCUGUUGGUGACACCCCUUCCCAGGCAAGCCAUUGAUGCAGCUGGUCUGCAUGCUUCCUGCUCUUCCAUCAGAAUGGCCCAGGCCAGCAGUAACCAGCAUGUUCUGGUCACAUAACCUGAUCAACUUGUGCUGAAUUAAUUCUGGGUAUGCUCAGGAAAACAGUUCAACUUCCUUGCAUAGCGGGAACAAUAACCUGCAAAAGAGAGAGCAAGCUAGUGUGCGUGAAGCCUCCUUUUUAACCAGCACAGCUGCUGACAAAGGAGGUUGUAUCUCUUGCCUUCUCUGAAGUUAAUCCCAGUGGUUUAAAGCAGACUAGUGGAGGAAAAAAAAAAAACAACACAAAAACAAGGACAACACAUACGAAUCUGAAAUUAGUCUAAAAUGCAACUGCAAAGACACAAUAGUUCCACUAGAGUCAAAGUAUUAGCCAGAUGCAAGAGGUUGAGUUAUAGUUGAAAAGACUGCGCAGAGAAAGUAGGAGUUACUAAUUCUUAAUUUGGCAUAACAUGACAUUCCCAACAGUUUGUCUCUCCUCCCAGUAAUUGUGUUUUAGCAAUGCACACGUUCACAAAAUCAUUGCACAAGACACUUGCAAUUGGGUGCAAAAGAAAAAAAAACAACAAAAAGUAAAGCACCUUUCUUUGUAAUGCUGUCAUUCUGAAAACUAAGGAAGGUUUAAUAGAGAGGUAAAAUAUGCUGAUCAACACAUGAAAGGACAAAACCUGGCUCAUUCCUUAUUUGUUCAAGAAUUACUAAACAGAAACACUUUGCAGGAGGCUAGGGCAACAGUAAUUUAGACAAUAACAAAUUGAGUGUUGUAAGAAUAACUGUUUCAUUGGAGAAAAAAAAAAAAGGAACUCUGGCAAGAAAACUUCUCACGUGGCAUUCAACAGACUUUCAAAUAAAUGAGUGAGGUAUGCAAGUUCAAUUAGUUCAGAAAUAAAGACCUUCCAGCGGCUUACCAUAAUGACAACAUUGUAUAGCAAGAUACAAUAACUCUUUGUGUCCUAAAAAUUGUCAGUUUCAUUUUACAAAGAUGACUUCCAAAAGCAUCUUGUCAUGACAAUCGAGUUUUGAGGUAAAAAAACCAACAACCUGUCAUUUGAUAAAAUGAUGAAAUUAACUGUCAUGAGAAUCACUUAUGCACUCCUCUUUCCUGCUAUCCUUCUCAUCUUGGCAGCAACUGAUAAGAAGAUUUCAGGGAGGUUCGGUCAUCAACGGCAGGAUCUAGAAGAGAAACAGUUUUACAUACAGUUAGCAUUCUUAUUCACAGCUUCUUGUAACUGCAUUUCACUAGCUUGCACUUAAUUAGUUUCCUUCUGCCAGUGACAUGAGCACAAUGGACAAACUAUUUCAUACAAAUCACUAUUCUCUGCUGCAAUUACACCUUACUCCAUAAAAAUAUUGCCUCUUAAUAGUGUAUUCAGAGGUAACAUUUACAUGGCCCCGUUAUCUACUGACUACGAAUUAUUAACAUCAGCCAAUGCAUCAGCCAGUAGGAACCACACAUCACUCAUUAUCACACAGUUCAUUACUUAGGGUGCAUGGCUGAACUUGAAGCGGUUACACUGCUAUGUAACUUCUAAAAAACAAAAACAAACAAACAAAAAAACCAUACGUAAUGGAAAAAAAGAGCAGAAACAGAUGCAACUGCUGUCAGAAUUCAAGAAC